GUGAGCAUCGAGCCAUCAAAGGCCAAGGAAGGCAAGGCAACAAGGGCAUUGCAAGAACGUACUUAACCCUCUCAAAACUUUCCCGUCCAAGGAUCAACGGAAUCAACAGUAGGAUCGAAGCAAGGGGAGACAGGCUACGAGACUGCCUCCUUAGCUCUUUGGCCAUUGAGAGACUGGAUGUCUUGAAUGGUGACAUCGAUAACGUUCCCAAUAGAUACCUAGCUAGAAAUGCAAAACGCGUCACUCUAACGAUCUAAGGUAGCCAAUACUCAUCCAUCAUAAGCAGACUCCAAAUCUUAC
rnacentral:misc_RNA from 1 species